GACGAACGCUGGCGGCGUGCUUAACACAUGCAAGUCGAACGGAAAGGCCCCCCCUUUUUUGGUGGGGCUGCUCGAGAGGCGAACGGGUGCGCAAGAGUUGGGUGACCUUGCCUGUACUUCAGGUUCAGCUUGGGAAACUGAGUAUCAUAUCGGAUAGGAUGAUGCUUGAGUGUCUCUUGGUAGAUACAUUAUUUUUUUGGUGAAGCAUGAGCUCGCGGCCUAUUAGUUUGGUGGUGGAUUACUAGCCUACCAAGGCGUCGACGGGUAGCCGGCCUGAGAGGUUGCACGGCUGCAUUGGGACUGAGAUACAGCCCAGACGCGUACGGGAGGCAGCUGUUGGGAAAAUUACACAAGGGGCGCAAGCCAGAUGGAGCGACGCCGUGUUGGGGAUGACGGGCUUCGGGUUUUAAACUCCUUUCGUUAUGAACGAAGCCGGACCUUUAUGGGGUGUGGGUACGGUACCUUGGUAAAGAAGCACCGGCUAACUACGUG
rnacentral:rRNA from 1 species